UACGGAGGGUGCAAGCGUUGUCCGGAUUUAUUGGGUUUAAAGGGUGCGUAGGCGGCUAAUUAAGUCAGCGGUGAAAUUCCACAGCUCAACUGUGGAACUGCCAUUGAUACUGGUUGGCUUGAGUACAGAUGAGGUAGGCGGAAUUGACAGUGUAGCGGUGAAAUGCUUAGAUAUUGUCAAGAACACCUAUUGCGAAGGCAGCUUACUAGACUGUAACUGACGCUGAGGCACGAAAGCGUGGGAGUC
rnacentral:rRNA from 1 species